CACAGCCGCGGUAAUUCCAGCUCCAAUAGCGUAUAUUAAAGUUGUUGCAGUUAAAAAGCUCGUAGUUGAAUUUCGGGGUUAGUAGUUUGGUCGUGCCAAUGGUAUGUACUGGGCUCACUGAUUCCUCCUUCCUGAUGAACUGUAAUGCCAUUAAUUUGGUGUUGCAGGGAAACAGGACUGUUACUUUAGAAAAAUUAGCGUGUUUAAAGCAGGCUAACGCUUGAAUACAUUAGCAUGGAAUAAUGAAAUAGGACGUUUGAUCCUAUUUUGUUGGUUUCUAGGAUCGACGUAAUGAUUAAUAGGGAUAGUUGGGGGCAUUAGUAUUCAAUUGUCAGAGGUGAAAUUCUUGGAUUUAUUGAAGACUAACUACUGCGAAAGCAUUUGCCAAGGAUGUUUUCAUUAAUCAAGAACGAAAGUUAGGGGAUCGAAGACGAUCAGAUACCGUCGUAGUCUUAACCAUAAACUAUGCCGACUAGGGAUCGGAUGAUGUUAAUUUUUAAUGACUCAUUCGCGCCUUAAC
rnacentral:rRNA from 1 species